rnacentral:piRNA from 1 species
UUUGAUCCUACGAUGGUGAAU